CCUACGGGGGCUGCAGUGGGGAAUAUUGGACAAUGGGGGCAACCCUGAUCCAGCCAUGCCGCGUGUGUGAAGAAGGCCCUCGGGUUGUAAAGCACUUUCAGUGAGGAAGAACGCCUGGUGGUUAAUACCCAUCAGGAAAGACAUCACUCACAGAAGAAGCACCGGCUAACUCCGUGCCAGCAGCCGCGGUAAUACGGAGGGUGCGAGCGUUAAUCGGAAUUACUGGGCGUAAAGCGCGCGUAGGUGGCUUGAUAAGCCGGUUGUGAAAGCCCCGGGCUCAACCUGGGAACGGCAUCCGGAACUGUCAAGCUAGAGUGCAGGAGAGGAAGGUAGAAUUCCCGGUGUAGCGGUGAAAUGCGUAGAGAUCGGGAGGAAUACCAGUGGCGAAGGCGGCCUUCUGGACUGACACUGACAUUGAGGUGCGAAAGCGUGGGUAGCAAACAGGAUUAGAUACCCUUGUAGUC
rnacentral:rRNA from 1 species